GACCUGUUGGUGCAGAUGGCAGCACACCCACAAUAAUUUGGUAUGCAAGGCGAUCGUUAUGUGGGAGACCCCAGUUCGACUCUGGGAUGGGUCA